rnacentral:rRNA from 1 species
UACAGAGGUCUCAAGCGUUGUUCGGAUUCAUUGGGCGUAAAGGGUGCGUAGGUGGCGGGGGUAAGUCAGGUGUGAAAUCUCGGAGCUCAACUCCGAAACUGCACUUGAUACUGCCUUGCUCGAGUACUGGAGAGGAGAUUGGAAUUUACGGUGUAGCAGUGAAAUGCGUAGAUAUCGUAAGGAAGACCAGUGGCGAAGGCGAAUCUCUGGACAGUUACUGACACUGAGGCACGAAGGCCAGGGGAGCAAACAGG